GGGGAAUUGGCAAAUAGCUGCAAUGUGCAAGCACGACUUUCCUCCCCGCACGUGUAAAACGUGUCGCCGUACGUAUGUUUAGGUGCAGCCAACGCUGUUUAGGCUCUUUGUGCCCGCAUGUAUUCGUCUACUGUCAAGCUGAAGUUGAUCUGGAAUUCUCUUUGUAGCAGAUUCUCUCCCAGCAUCCUCAGUGCGCUCCAGAUGCACGAGGGAGAGACCUUGACGAGGCGUACGAAAGGAAAACCAGCACAUUUGGAAUGAGGUGUUAUCUCGCGCUGGCUGCCAGACGGCUUGUAUGGAAAUACUACGUCCUCCGAUGAGGUCGAGAGCAAAGACAAACUUUUUAAAGGGGGAGAGGAAGUAAGAGGAUUAGACUUGAUAAUGCGCGUGAAACCUCCCGCCAGGAUGAGCUUGUCAGAUCGCAGAAUACCUGUGGCUGUUUACGAUGGCUCCCACAGACAUUGAUUGAUUGGCGGAGGUUGUGUUGGUAGCAGAUGAAAAGCAGAAGGUCAUCGACAGUCUGCGGAUGAAUGGAGCACAUUACUGACAUGACAAGGUGCAUUUACAGUACGUAUUAAGAUUCACACUGAAGCCAAGUGAAAAAGAGAAAACAACCUCAAGGUAACUCUGCAAACCGCUUCACUUUUACCACCUAAUUUGUUGUUAUUCAUUCCAAAUUCUGAGCAAACGUGGCCAAAGCACCUUGGCAGCACAUGGGCUCCUAAAGCAUCCGGAAGAUAUUUAAAAAGGGAAUCUAAUAUCCUUAAUGAAUAGCCAGCGAGUGCGAAAAGUGAUCUAACAAAUGCUGUUAUCAAAGACGACUGUGUGCAGUUGCAACGCACUAGUUUGAACUGUUUAACACAUGCAAAGGAUUUAGUUCGCAAUUUAGUGUUUGGAGCGCUUUCAAGCCCGAGCGGGAGCACGUUCCUCCCAAGGUCACCUCGGUCCGAGCCGCGGCGCUGAAGGAACUGGGCGGAAUCUGUUUAUUUGCUGAGAGAAACCGGCAAAAGUAACCGAAUGUAAAGGCCGAAGGCCGGGAAACCCACGAGGCGCCCGCACAUUUGACCUAUUAUUAAAUAAAAGCUCUGACAGAUGAAGUCGCUGGCA
rnacentral:lncRNA from 1 species